rnacentral:rRNA from 1 species
GACGGAGGGUGCUAGCGUUGUUCGGAAUGACUGGGCGUAAAGGGCGCGUAGGCGGCCACUUGCGUCGGAUGUGAAAGCCCGGGGCUCAACCCCGGAACGGCAUCCGAUACGGGGUGGCUGGAGACCGAGAGAGGUGAGUGGAAUACCCAGUGUAGAGGUGAAAUUCGUAGAUAUUGGGUGGAACACCGGUGGCGAAAGCGGCUCACUGGCUCGGUUCUGACGCUGAGGCGCGAAAGCGUGGGGAGCAAACAGG